AUUGAACGCUGGCGGCAUGCCUUACACAUGCAAGUCGAACGGUAACAGGUUAAGCUGACGAGUGGCGAACGGGUGAGUAAUGUAUCGGAACGUGCCCAGUCGUGGGGGAUGACUGCUCGAAAGAGCAGCUAAUACCGCAUACGAUCUACGGAUGAAAGCGGGGGAUCGCAAGACCUCGCGCGAUUGGAGCGGCCGAUAUCUGAUUAGCUAGUUGGUGGGGUAAAGGCCCACCAAGGCGACGAUCAGUAGCUGGUCUGAGAGGACGACAAGCCACACUGGGACUGAGACACGGCCCAGACUCCUACGGGAGGCAGCAGUGGGGAAUUUUGGACAAUGGGGGCAACCCUGAUCCAGCCAUGCCGCGUGCAGGAAGAAGGCCUUCGGGUUGUAAACUGCUUUUGUCAGGGAAGAAAUCCUUUGGGCUAAUACCCUGAGGGGAUGACGGUACCUGAAGAAUAAGCACCGGCUAACUACGUGCCAGCCGCCGCGGUAA
rnacentral:rRNA from 1 species